rnacentral:rRNA from 2 species
GCGGAACAUGGCUUUUUCCCGCAUGAGAGAAGAUGGAAAGACGGUUUACGCUGUCACUUAUAGAUGGGCCACGCAGGCGCAUUAGCUAGUUGCGUGAGGUAAUGGCUCACCGAGGCGACGAUGCGCAUAGCCGACCUGGAGAGGGUGAUCGGCCACACUGGGACUGAGACACGCCCCAGACUCCUACGGGAGGCAGCAGUAGGGAAUCUUCCGCAAUGGACGAAAGUCUGACGGAGCAACGCCGCGUGAACGAAGAAGGCCUUCGGGUCGUAAAGUUCUGUUGUUAGGGAAGAACCAAGUACCAGAGUAACUGCUGGUACCUUGACGGUACCUAACCAGAAAGCCACCGGCUAACUACGUGCCAGCAGCCGCGGUAAUACGUAGGUGGCAAGCGUUGUCCGGAAUUAUUGGGCGUAAAGCGCGCGCAGGUGGUUCYUUAAGUCUGAUGUGAAAGCCCACGGCUCAACCGUGGAGGGUCAUUGGAAACUGGGGAACUUGAGUGCAGAAGAGGAAAGUGGAAUUCCAAGUGUAGCGGUGAAAUGCGUAGAGAUUUGGAGGAACACCAGUGGCGAAGGCGACUUUCUGGUCUGUAACUGACACUGAGGCGCGAAAGCGUGGGGNAGCAAACAGGAUUAGAUACCCUGGUAGUCCACGCCGUAAACGAUGAGUGCUAAGUGUUAGAGNGGUUUCCGCCCUNUUAGUGCUGCAGCUAACGCAUUAAGCACUCCGCCUGGGGAGUACGGCCGCAAGGCUGAAACUCAAAGGAAUUGACGGGGGCCCGCACAAGCGGUGGAGCAUGUGGUUUAAUUCGAAGCAACGCGAAGAACCUUACCAGGUCUUGACAUCCUCUGACAACCCUAGAGAUAGGGCUUUCUCCCUUCGGGGGACAGAGUGACAGGUGGUGCAUGGUUGUCGUCAGCUCGUGUCGUGAGAUGUUGGGUUAAGUCCCGCAACGAGCGCAACCCUUGAUCUUAGUUGCCAGCAUUCAGUUGGGCACUCUAAGGUGACUGCCGGUGACAAACCGAGAGGAAGGUGGGGAUGACGUCAAAUCAUACAUGCCCCUUAUGACCUGGGCUACACACGUGCUACAAUGGAUGGUACAAAGGGCUGCAAACCUGCGAAGGUAAGCGAAUCCCAUAAAGCCAUUCUCAGUUCGGAUUGCAGGCUGCAACUCGCCUGCAUGAAGCCGGAAUCGCUAGU